CUCAUUGCAAUUGGGGCAAUGACGUAGCUAGUGAGGUUCUAAUCAAGGGACGUCUAUAGCUGGUUGAAAACUAUUUUCAGUCUACAUAAAGGUCAGGCAUCAUUACUCUUUGAUUCAAACAUGUGAACCGUUGAUCCUAAU
rfam:Solanum lycopersicum cultivar Heinz 1706 chromosome 8, whole genome shotgun sequence.